AUGGGUGUGGCGCAGUUUGGUAGCGCGCUUGAAUGGGGUUCAAGAGGUCGGGGGUUCAAGUCCCUUCACCCAUACCA
rnacentral:tRNA from 1 species